GUCCUUUAAUCCAACUACUGCCAUUUUACAGAUGGGGAAACUAAGGUCCAGAGAGGCGGCAUGCAUACAGCCAGUUAGGUGGGCUGACCCGAGAUUCAUAUCGUGACCUAUUGUGAAAGUA
rnacentral:lncRNA from 1 species